UACGUAGGGGGCAAGCGUUGUCCGGAAUCAUUGGGCGUAAAGGGCGCGUAGGCGGUUUUGUAAGUCGGAUGUGAAAGCCCAGGGCUCAACCUUGGAAGUGCAUCUGAUACUGCAUAACUGGAGUCUCGGAGAGGGUGGUGGAAUUCCCAGUGUAGAGGUGAAAUUCGUAGAUAUUGGGAGGAACAUCGGUGGCGAAGGCGACCACCUGGACGAAGACUGACGCUGAGGCGCGAGAGCGUGGGGAGCAAACAGG
rnacentral:rRNA from 1 species